GGCCCAAUGGUUUAAUGGUAUAAUACUCGGUUUGGGUCCGAGUGGUUCUGGGUUCGAUUCCCAGUUGGGCCC